AUGGGCAGCAAGAUGGUGUCUGCCAGUCGGGUCGUCCAGUCAAGCCACAUACACCAUUAAUAAGGUUCCCUGACAGAAGAGACAAUCCUAAACCCAGCGUAUCAGAAGCUUUGAGAUCUGCAGGGCUCCCACCUCACUCCUCUGUAAUGUCACAGCAUUCUAAAGGGAGUAAAUCACCGGACUUGCUGGUGCAUCCAGGUCCACCAGACACUGCAGAAAUAAUAAAAACACUACCUCAGAAGUACAGAAGGAAACUGCUAUCUCAAGAGAAAAGGGAGUGUAUCCAGCGUGGAGGUCCAGAAUGAUGACUGUGGCUGCUGUUUGUCAUCAGACAGAAGAUUAUCUUUAUAAUGAAGGACUUCCAAAAUGACA